rnacentral:rRNA from 1 species
UAACGCGAAGAACCUUACCAGGUCUUGACAUACUAUGCAAAUCUAAGAGAUUAGACGUUCCCUUCGGGGACAUGGAUACAGGUGGUGCAUGGUUGUCGUCAGCUCGUGUCGUGAGAUGUUGGGUUAAGUCCCGCAACGAGCGCAACCCUUAUUAUCAGUUGCCAGCAUUAAGUUGGGCACUCUGGUGAGACUGCCGGUGACAAACCGGAGGAAGGUGGGGAUAACGUCAAAUCAUCAUGCCCCUUAUGACCUGGGCUACACACGUGCUACAAUGGAUGGUACAACGAGUUGCGAACUCGCGAGAGUAAGCUAAUCUCUUAAAGCCAUUCUCAGUUCGGAUUGUAGGCUGCAACUCGCCUACAUGAAGUCGGAAUCGCUAGUAAUCGCGGAUCAGC